ACUCCUACGGGAGGCAGCAGUAGGGAAUCUUCCGCAAUGGGCGCAAGCCUGAUGGAGCAACACCGCGUGAGUGAAGAAGGGUUUCGGCUCGUAAAGCUCUGUUGUUAAAGAAGAACACGUAUGAGAGUAACUGUUCAUACGUUGACGGUAUUUAACCAGAAAGUCACGGCUAACUACGUGCCAGCAGCCGCGGUAAUACGUAGGUGGCAAGCGUUAUCCGGAUUUAUUGGGCGUAAAGAGAGUGCAGGCGGUUUUCUAAGUCUGAUGUGAAAGCCUUCGGCUUAACCGGAGAAGUGCAUCGGAAACUGGACAACUUGAGUGCAGAAGAGGGUAGUGGAACUCCAUGUGUAGCGGUGGAAUGCGUAGAUAUAUGGAAGAACACCAGUGGCGAAGGCGGCUACCUGGUCUGCAACUGACGCUGAGACUCGAAAGCAUGGGUAGCGAACAGGAUUAGAUACCCUGGUAGGAUAGCG
rnacentral:rRNA from 1 species